rnacentral:rRNA from 1 species
UGGGGAAUUUUGGACAAUGUGGGAUACCCUGAUCCAGCCAUCCCGCGUGUGCGAUGAAGGCCUUCGGGUUGUAAAGCACUUUUGGCAGGAAAGAAACGUCAUGGGUUAAUACCCCGUGAAACUGACGGUACCUGCAGAAUAAGCACCGGCUAACUACGUGCCAGCAGCCGCGGUAAUACGUAGGGUGCAAGCGUUAAUCGGAAUUACUGGGCGUAAAGCGUGCGCAGGCGGUUCGGAAAGAAAGAUGUGAAAUCCCAGAGCUCAACUUUGGAACUGCAUUUUUAACUACUGGGAUAGAGUGUGUCAGAGGGAGGUGGAAUUCCGCGUGUAGCAGUGAAAUGCGUAGAUAUGCGGAAGAACACCGAUGGCGAAGGCAGCCUCCUGGGAUAACACUGACACUCAUGCACGAAAGCGUGGGGAGCAAACAGG